CGCACGGGUGAGUAACGCGUAUGCAACCUACCUAUCAGAGGGGAAGUAACCCGGCGAAAGUCGGACUAAUACCGCAUAAAACAGGGGCACCGCAUGGUGAUAUUUGUUAAAGAAAUUCGCUGAUAGAUGGGCAUGCGUUCCAUUAGGUAGUUGGUGAGGUAACGGCUCACCAAGCCGACGAUGGAUAGGGAACUGAGAGGUUGGUCCCCCACACUGGUACUGAGACACGGACCAGACUCCUACGGGAGGCAGCAGUGAGGAAUAUUGGUCAAUGGGCGGGAGCCUGAACCAGCCAAGUCGCGUGAAGGAAGAAGGAUCUAUGGUUCGUAAACUUCUUUUGCAGGGGAAUAAAGUGCAGGACGUGUCCUGUUUUGUAUGUACCCUGAGAAUAAGGAUCGGCUAACUCCGUGCCAGCAGCCGC
rnacentral:rRNA from 1 species